rnacentral:rRNA from 1 species
UACGGAGGGUGCAAGCGUUAUCCGGAUUUACUGGGUUUAAAGGGUGCGCAGGCGGAUAUGUAAGUCAGUGGUGAAAUCUCCGGGCUUAACCCGGAAAUUGCCGUUGAUACUAUAUAUCUUGAAUGCUGUGGAGGUAAGCAGAAUAUGUCAUGUAGCGGUGAAAUGCUUAGAUAUGACAUAGAAUACCUAUUGCGAAGGCAGCUUACUACACAGAUAUUGACGCUCAUGCACGAAAGCGUGGGGAUCAAACAGG